rnacentral:rRNA from 1 species
GAUGAACGCUGGAGGCGUGCCUAAUACAUGCAAGUCGAGCGAACAGACGAGGAGCUUGCUCCUCUGACGUUAGCGGCGGACGGGUGAGUAACACGUGGAUAACCUACCUAUAAGACUGGGAUAACUUCGGGAAACCGGAGCUAAUACCGGAUAAUAUAUUGGACCGCAUGGUUCAAUAGUGAAAGACGGUUUUGCUGUCACUUAUAGAUGGAUCCGCGCCGCAUUAGCUAGUUGGUAAGGUAACGGCUUACCAAGGCAACGAUGCGUAGCCGACCUGAGAGGGUGAUCGGCCACACUGGAACUGAGACACGGUCCAGACUCCUACGGGAGGCAGCAGUAGGGAAUCUUCCGCAAUGGGCGAAAGCCUGACGGAGCAACGCCGCGUGAGUGAUGAAGGUCUUCGGAUCGUAAAACUCUGUUAUUAGGGAAGAACAAAUGUGUAAGUAACUAUGCACGUCUUGACGGUACCUAAUCAGAAAGCCACGGCUAACUACGUG